rnacentral:rRNA from 1 species
UACGGAAGGCAGCAGUGGGGAAUAUUGCACAAUGGGCGCAAGCCUGAUGCAGCCAUGCCGCGUGUAUGAAGAAGGCCUUCGGGUUGUAAAGUACUUUCAGUCGUGAGGAAGGUGUUAAGGUUAAUAACCUUAGCAAUUGACGUUAGCGACAGAAGAAGCACCGGCUAACUCCGUGCCAGCAGCCGCGGUAAUACGGAGGGUGCGAGCGUUAAUCGGAAUUACUGGGCGUAAAGGGCACGCAGGCGGUUAAUUAAGUUGGAUGUGAAAUCCCCGGGCUUAGCCUGGGAAUGGCAUUCAAGACUGGUUAGCUAGAGUCUUGUAGAGGGGGUAGAAUUCCAUGUGUAGCGGUGAAAUGCGUAGAGAUGUGGAGGAAUACCGGUGGCGAAGGCGGCCCCUGGGACAAAGGACUGACGCUCAUGUGCGAAAGCGUGGGGAGCGAAACAGGGAUUAGAUA